CCUGGGCGACAGAGAAAGACCCUGUCUCUUAAAAAAAAAAAAAUCUUAGAUAAGAGGAUGCUGUGCCUCCCUGGGGGUCUUCAGUCACCCAUAGUCCUGGCAAGAGAGGAGGGCCAGGAGAGAGCUUCACCCACCUGCUGUCCUGCCCAUGUGACAUCCGCAGGUGCUGCCAUGGCCACGACUGUUGUUACACUCGAGCUGAGGAGGCCGGCUGCAGCCCCAAGACAGAGCGCUACUCCUGGCAGUGCGUCAAUCAGAGCGUCCUGUGCGAGAUGGGGUUUCGCUAUGAUGCCCUGGCUAGUCUUCAACUCCUGGACUCAAGUGAUCUGCCCACCUCGGCCCCCUAAAGUGCUGGGAUUACAGGCCUGAGCUGUGUAAUUUCAUGCCGCGUGACACAGCCCAGUAAAAAGGAAGAAACCCCGCGGGUCCAGCGUCUACUCACACAGGUGGACUGAUGGCUGAUAAAUCCCAGCAGGAGCCAAAAGAGCAGCCACAGCACCCAUCUACUCACACAGGUGGACUGAUGGCUGAUAAAUCCCAGCAGGAGCCAAAAGAGGAGCCAAAAGAGCAGCCACCGCACCCGCAUGUCCUGGUCCUUUCAGGGCACCCGGAGGUGGCCAGGACAGAGGUGGAGGUGGCUUAGGGCAGGGGGGAGGGAAGGGGACGGGGACCGGGCCGGAUCUGAGUUGGGGAGGGGGAGGGGAGGGGGAGGGGAAGGGGAGGGGAAGGGGGGAAGUAAGGGAAGGGAAAGGAGGAGAAGGGGGCUGUUGGGGAGGAGGAGGAGGAGAAGAAGAAAGGGGUCUGGGAAAGGAUCCGGUUCAAAUUAAGUUCUCAAGCGCUGGUGGAAGGUUUAGCUACAGGUCACGGAGAAGAUCAGGGAAGCAACAGGACACGCGGGGCAAGGGAGCGUGAGGCUUAGGAGCAAUUAGAGGGAGACAAAGGUUCUGCUUUCCACCAAACCUUCUUCGGUCUGGGCCCUCCCUUAGCAACCCUGGGGCUUUAGACUCUCUCUCCACCAAUCCCUGAUGACCCCGGUGGUGCCUCACAAUGGACAUUCCAAGUAGCGCCCGCAUCAUCCCAAUGACCCCUCCCCCAUCUCAGUCCCCCACGCUCCUCCCAAGACCAGGUCCUCUCUGGAACCUUCAGAAACCUGAUUUCUGGUCCUCCCCAACCAGCUCCCUGUCCCUGCUUCUGGGCGCUCCUUCCUUCCUGAGCUCCCAGGGUUCCUCAAGGUCACUUUUGGCGACAAAACAUAAAAAACAAAUGAUGGCAGGAUGGCAGGAAGAAUCUCUUUGUCCCUGAGUUUCAGAAGCAAAUAGUGAAGCUUUGGGCAGAAGAGGAUUCAUGGGAAAAUAUAUCCAAAUCACUUUGGUUCCUUCCUUUGGAUAGAAGGAAUUUGGAUCAUGAGGGCCCCUGGGUGUCCUCAAGUGGCCACUUUGGAAGGCUGGGUGGGUGGUGGCUGUGGCAUUGUGGAUGAUGGACAAUCGUGUGGCCUUGGUGAGGAGUGAUGGGGCUCUCGGUGUUUGCAGAGGAAGCUGCCUGGACAGGACAUCGCACAAGGAUCCUACAUUGCCCUGCCAUUGACGCUGCUGGUUCUGCUGGCCGGUUACAACCAUGACAAGCUCAUUCCUUUGCUGCUGCAGUUGACAAGCCGGCUACAGGGAGUCCGCGUGCUCGGCCAGGCAGCCUCUGACAAUAGCGGCCCAGAAGAUGCAAAGAGACAAGCCAAGAAACAGAAGACAAGGCGGACUUGAGGAGGAAGGGGACAGUUGCAGUCUCACUUGGGACAGGCCACAGCCAGGGGUCCGGCCACUACCCGCCCGUGGGAUAAAAGCCAAAAGCAUGCGUCAGCUAACUUCAGCCUGUGCUGCUGGGCCCGCACCCCAUGUCCCUUGUCACUGUGGCAUCCUGCACCCAUCCUCACCCCUCCGUAGAGCCCCUCGUGCAAUGCAAUGAAUGGACCCUCCUGUCACUCUGCUGAACAGAAUUUAUUUUCUGAGUCAAAUAUAAUUUAUUAUUAUUUUUGUCAAAGAAGUAUUUAAGCUGUGCUGUGGUGUGAGAAUGUCAUUCUUGAUCUUCAGCCUUCGUUUGCAAGAAGAGUUCCAGUUGACGUGGUGUUUGGUUCCAUGGCGGGGUACCCUAGGGAUUCAUCUGUUUUCUUCACUUCCCUUUGCAUCUGAGAUCCUGCUGGAAACCACAGCAACCUGUAUCCACUAUUAGGAGGUAAAAAUCAAUAAAAUGGCCCAUUCAUUUGUGUUGUAGCUCA